CAGUACGUGAAUCAAAUUGAAACGGUUGUGUACAUAUUUGUUUCUCGUAUUUCAAUACAAUAGCGUUACUUUUUAAUCUAACUUUAGCACUAUAGCAGUUGGUGAACAUUGCAAACGAAACUAGGAAAUGUUCGAUUGAAAGUAUCUCACGUGCAUGUAGAAUAAUAAAGGUGAGAUUCGACGAACAAUAAACGAUUUGACAUUCGUUCUAUAAUAAGAUAUUGAACGUGUUCGAAAUGAAAAAUGGCGAUUAAACGUUGAGAUUGGCAGAUAGACACUGGUUGAAACAAAUCGAAAGUGUGUUGCAUAGCGGCGUGUUCUAAAGAUACACGUGUGUCAUAGGUAUUUAACAUGAAAGUGACUGCAUAACGGACGAUCGAGCGUAAAAAGAAAUUCACGUUUUCGCAUAUCGGUAUCGUUCCCGAUGAGAUGAAUCGUUAAAAACUGGUUUGUAAGUAAAAUUUAUUAGCACGAGUCGGCGUGAAUCGUACUUCUUAUUUAUGCGGCUGUUACGACGCCUCUGCAUAAAGUUCCAUUUGCACGUUGCACUCUGGGAAAAUUGUUGACGGUAGCGAUAAAUUGGCCUGCAGCUUAUCUCUCGUUAUCUGUUAUUUAUCCUUUUUUAGAGCGGGCCGCACGCUUUGUAGCACUGAUAAAUUGUUUCAACUGGGUCAUCCGUUCGCCACGGCUCGUUUUUGUCUUUCAUUUAUCCGCGGAAUUUCUCCCGUGCUGGUUGUUCCGAAUUUAUCGAAUUCUCCGCGGUGUUUAAACGUGAGGAAAUUGGAAGGCGAAUUGCGCACGAUCAACUAUCACUGUAUUGAAUUUUUUUCUACGACUAAAUUCCCAUUAUAAUGCACCUUCAUGAUACACGUUUCCGUAUAAUAUCAUAAGAAUAAUUGUCUAGGGCGGUAAUUACCGUCAUUAGAUUAAUGCAUACGCCACAACAUGCACAGUAAACGUAAUAUUACUAUUAUUUAUUAUCAUUUCUUUCUUGUAGCUAACAAAUGUACCAUCUAU